rnacentral:rRNA from 1 species
AUUGAACGCUGGCGGAAUGCUUUACACAUGCAAGUCGAGCGGCAGCACGGGGGCAGCCCUGGUGGCGAGUGGCGAACGGGUGAGUAAUACAUCGGAACGUGCCCGGUCGUGGGGGAUAACGUAGCGAAAGUUACGCUGAUACCGCAUACGAUCUGAGGAUGAAAGCGGGGGACCUUCGGGCCUCGCGCGAUCGGAGCGGCCGAUGUCAGAUUAGGUAGUUGGUGGGGUAAAGGCCUACCAAGCCGACGAUCUGUAGCUGGUCUGAGAGGACGACCAGCCACACUGGGACUGAGACACGGCCCAGACUCCUACGGGAGGCAGCAGUGGGGAAUUUUGGACAAUGGGCGCAAGCCUGAUCCAGCCAUUCCGCGUGCAGGACGAAGGCCUUCGGGUUGUAAACUGCUUUUGUACGGAACGAAAAGGCUCUGGCUAAUACCUGGGGCUCAUGACGGUACCGUAAGAAUAAGCACCGGCUAACUACGUG